rnacentral:rRNA from 1 species
UACGUAGGGGGCUAGCGUUGUCCGGAUUUAUUGGGCGUAAAGAGCGUGUAGGCGGCCAGGUAGGUCUGGUGUGAAAACUCGAGGCUUAACCUCGAGAUGUCGGUGGAAACCAUCUGGCUAGAGUCCGGAAGAGGAGAGUGGAAUUCCUGGUGUAGCGGUGAAAUGCGCAGAUAUCAGGAAGAACACCCGUGGCGAAGGCGGCUCUCUGGGACGGUACUGACGCUGAGACGCGAAAGCGUGGGGAGCGAACAGG